AAUGAACGCUGGCGGCGUGCUUAACACAUGCAAGUCGCACGAGAACGCUUCAGCUUGCUGAGGCAAGUAAAGUGGCGCACGGGUGAGUAACGCGUGGGUAAUCUACCUCCGAAUUGGGGAUAACAUUGCGAAAGCGGUGCUAAUACCGAAUAAUAUCCUCAAGACCCCGGUCUUGGAGAUCAAAGGUGGCCUCUACAUGUAAGCUACUGUUUGGAGAUGAGCCCGCGUACCAUUAGCUUGUUGGUAGGGUAACGGCCUACCAAGGCGACGAUGGUUAGCUGGUCUGAGAGGAUGAUCAGCCACACUGGAACUGACACACGGUCCAGACACCUACGGGUGGCAG
rnacentral:rRNA from 1 species